rnacentral:rRNA from 1 species
UGGGGAAUAUUGGGCAAUGGGCGCAAGCCUGACCCAGCAACGCCGCGUGAAGGAAGAAGGCUUUCGGGUUGUAAACUUCUUUGAUCAGGGACGAAAAAGAUGACGGUACCUGAAAAACAAGCCACGGCUAACUACGUGCCAGCAGCCGCGGUAAUACGUAGGUGGCGAGCGUUAUCCGGAUUUACUGGGUGUAAAGGGCGUGUAGGCGGUUUGGCAAGUCGGAUGUGAAAUUCCCAGGCUUAACUUGGGCGCUGCAUCCGAAACUGCUGAACUUGAGUACUGGAGAGGAUAGUGGAAUUCCUAGUGUAGCGGUAAAAUGCGUAGAUAUUAGGAGGAACAUCAGUGGCGAAGGCGACUAUCUGGACAGUAACUGACGCUGAGGCGCGAAAGCGUGGGGAGCAAACAGG